GAUGAACGCUAGCGGCAGGCUUAACACAUGCAAGUCGAGGGGUAUAGGUUUUCGGACCUAGAGACCGGCGCACGGGUGCGUAACGCGUAUGCAAUCUACCUUUCACAGAGGGAUAGCCCAGAGAAAUUUGGAUUAAUACCCCAUAGUAUUAUGAAGUGGCAUCAUUUUAUAAUUAAAGUUCCAACGGUGAAAGAUGAGCAUGCGUCCCAUUAGCUAGAUGGUAAGGUAACGGCUUACCAUGGCAACGAUGGGUAGGGGUCCUGAGAGGGAGAUCCCCCACACUGGUACUGAGACACGGACCAGACUCCUACGGGAGGCAGCAGUGAGGAAUAUUGGUCAAUGGACGCAAGUCUGAACCAGCCAUGCCGCGUGCAGGAUGACGGUCCUAUGGAUUGUAAACUGCUUUUGUACGAGAAGAAACACUCCUUCGUGAAGGAAUUUGACGGUAUCGUAAGAAUAAGGAUCGGCUAACUCCGUGCCAGCAGCCGCAGUAAAAC
rnacentral:rRNA from 1 species